CCGACGGACAGGUUCGUCGGAAUCGGUCUAUUCCGACGAAUUUCCGACGAUUUCGGCCAUCAGAAUCCCCCUGUUUUCUUGUAGUGACUCUCCUCCGACAUGCUCUGCUUGUGGUUCUCUGCAUCUACCCCGUCUUCGAAUUCACCCCCCGCUGCUACUGACGUUCCGUUACCUUCGAUGCCUUGAACAUCAUCGCUUCUUCCAUCAGAACUGGGUAGUUAUACGUGUGUAAGUUGAUCAUUAGUGGGUGUAGGUUGAUGUUAUUGUAGACUUAGAAUUUGAUAUUGUAGUUUACUCAACGAAACAUAUUAUUUUAUUUCAUGCUAAACCGGAUAUAAUUAACAAAAUAUAUUCUUUUAUUUUAUAUAUGCAUAUAUUUAACAAACGUAAUAUAUAAAUAUAACAUUAACUAUCAAUUGUAUACACAUAUAAUUUGAAUAAACACGUUAUUUUCAAGCUAAAUUUGGCUUGAAGGCAACUCCAAUACCAAACCAAACAAUACAUAUAAGUUUUGUUGCUUAUUCUUGAAGUCUAUAAAUUUUAGGAUUAGAUUACUAAUUUUUAUUAAAUUGUUAUUUUCAACUAAAAUUUUCACCAUUCAAGUUAGAUUAUUUAUUUUUACUAAUUUCAUUGUUUUGUUUGUUGUAUUCACUAUUUUUUAUUUUUUCAAAUAAUUUUUGUUAAAAUAUUUGUUUGAUUAUCUUUUAAUCAUUAUUGUUAAUUUUUUGAACCAUAUUUUUUUGGUUAAUUUUUUAUAAGUUUGAUCUUAUUGACCUAAAAAUGGAAAGCACUGGUUUUGAUAAUAUUGGUACUGCAGUAGUUAUAGAUAAAAAAAAACUGUUUUAAUAUCGAUUUUGUGGGUUUACGUUACUUCUUUUCUCUGGGUUCAUAAGACAAUGUGUAUGUGUCGCAGUUUCAUUGUUUCAUUCUUGAACAAUGAGUCAGACCCAGAAAAGGACUCUGCUGCAGUUCAAGACUUCUUUUCCAAGAUGGAAGCUGCUUUCAUGGCUCAUCCAAUUUGGUCCGGUUGUUCUGAGGAUGAACUAGACAGCGCUGGAGAUGGUCUAGAGAAGUAUGUCAUGACAAAGCUGUUUCCCCGUGUCUUUGCUUCAAACACAGAGGGGAUGUUAUAUCUGAUGAGAAACUCUUUCAGAAGAUGUCUUUGGUUCAACAGUUCAUUUCUCCUGAAUAUCUUUGUAGAGUUUUGUGGGACAAAUUUGGAGGUGGCAUCGUUUAAAAAAAAAUAACUGGAUCGCUUUAGCUCAAUUCUAUAAACCAACCUUUUUCGGGCUGUGUUGGUUUCUGGCCAAAUCUUCUCCAUAGAUAUUCAAUCGCAAGAGGUUAUCUAAUCUAACAUGAAGCCUAUCGUUCCCGAUUUUCCUUCCCCGGUGAAGAAACGCUCCGCCGUUAUGGCAAUCAAUCAACACGACCCACUAAUCCCACGUUCUCCUCCUCACUAUAUAUGAACAGAGCAGGACUUCCUUUGCUCGAGAUUGUAUCUGAAAUUCAUAUGGACUGUGAGGAGGUAUUUGGGAGUGAGUAAUGUGAAUAUGCAAGAAGACGUUCUCCCUUGUGAUGUUUAUAUCUCAAUCAGGCAAGCUAAGUUUUGGGACCACAGUCAAUAUGUUUCUUUCUUUUUGUUUAUAUAUUCCGAGUUUAAUCAAUGAUCAACUCAUUCGAGCUUUUGUUGAGAAAGGCAGACUAUAAGAGGAUGAGGGUCGUAACUAUUGUAUGCUCUACUCUGUGGUACCCUUCCUUUUGAUGAUGAAAAUAUUCCCAAAAUUUUCAAGAAGAUAAAGGUACUCUACUUUGAUUCAGCUCAAUGACUCUUCUAAGUUAGAAAUGCAACCUCAUGGUAGUGCUCCAAGAAGCUCCAGCGAGAUGUAACUGGCAUCGGAUUUGAUGAUUCAAAUGUUGUUGGUAUCUUCAGGUAACCAACGUUUAGCUUAACAGACUGUGAACUUAUUUUGCAGCUAACUACAUCCUCUACCCUUAACUCUUCAUCUAGCAUGUAUCAUGGUGUUGUAUUGCAGGUACCGUGUGGAGUUGUCCAUUUCAGACAAAACCGAUGAUGUUGUGUUCGUCGCCCGUACAGCUUUCACGAGUUACAACACCUGAUGGUCUCAAUAUACUUGACGCUCUGCAACAAGCAAUAUAAAUGGUGUAACUAAUAUUGUUUACAGAGAGAUUUUCAAAGACCUUAGGACAGGUGGGUUCCAGCUCUACCUAUUACAUGUGACAGCUAGGAUUUGCGAAGGCUACUUCAUCCUAAACAAACGUACUACCAACUAUCCAGUGACUGGAAUAGCUAAGAGUGUGUCUUCGUGCAGCUGUGUCCCAAAGAUUUUUUUAUCUAAGUUUAGUGCAUUGAUUCACCAGUCACCCCGUGCUUGGUUGUUGUUUUCAUGUUAAAUACGAGAAGAAGAC